CAGUCGCCGCGGGAAUACGAAGGGUGCAAGCGUUACUCGGAAUUACUGGGCGUAAAGCGUGCGUAGGUGGUGGUUUAAGUCCGUUGUGAAAGCCCUGGGCUCAACCUGGGAAUUGCAGUGGAUACUGGGUCACUAGAGUGUGGUAGAGGAUAGUGGAAUUUCCGGUGUAGCAGUGAAAUGCGUAGAGAUCGGAAGGAACAUCUGUGGCGAAGGCGACUAUCUGGGCCAACACUGACACUGGGGCACGAAAGCGUGGGGAUCAAACAGGAUUAGAUACCCCCGUAGUCCCUGUCUCUUAUAC
rnacentral:rRNA from 1 species